GAUAAUGAAUUCAAUCAUUCCUGUUAUCAAAAUAGUAAUCAUUAACAAUUAAUAUUUAUAUUAAGAAAUAUUGAAUACCGGGUUUGAUGGAAGCUUGCUUGUGGAGCUUCUAUGGAGGCUGGAUCUUUGAAUUUUAAUGAGGUCCUUUAAUGAUGAUUUUCCACUAUGAAGAUGCAGCGGAAGACAAAUGAGAAGAGGUAAGAGGCGGCGUCAUCCAUUAGGGAAUAAGCCAUGGAAGAAAGAGUUUCAUCACCAAGAUGAGUCUUGGAUAAGAAGCUUGGAGAGGAUGCUUCAAUGGAGGAAAAGAAAGAGGGAGAGAAAGAGAGAGAGGGAAACACGAAAUUAAAGAAAGGAAAAGGGAGAGAAGUUGAACUUUGAGUUGUGUCUCAC
rnacentral:lncRNA from 1 species